AAAAGAACCUGAAACCGUGUACGUACAAGCAGUGGGAGCACAGGUUUACCUGUGUGACUGCGUACCUUUUGUAUAAUGGGUCAGCGACUUAUAUUCUGUAGCAAGGUUAACCGUAUAGGGGAGCCGGAGGGAAACCGAGUCUUAACCGGGCGUUAAGUUGCAGGGUAUAGACCCGAAACCCGGUGAUCUAGCCAUGGGCAGGUUGAAGGUUGGGUAACACUAACUGGAGGACCGAACCGACUAAUGUUGAAAAAUUAGCGGAUGACCUGUGGCUGGGGGUGAAAGGCCAAUCAAACCGGGAGAUAGCUGGUUCUCCCCGAAAGCUAUUUAGGUAGCGCCUCGUGAACUCAUCUCCGGGGGUAGAGCACUGUUUCGGCUAGGGGGCCAUCCCGGCUUACCAACCCGAUGCAAACUGCGAAUACCGGAGAAUGUUAUCACGGGAGACACACGGCGGGUGCUAACGUCCGUCGUGAAGAGGGAAACAACCCAGACCGCCAGCUAAGGUCCCAAAGUCAUGGUUAAGUGGGAAACGAUGUGGGAAGGCCCAGACAGCCAGGAUGUUGGCUUAGAAGCAGCCAUCAUUUAAAGA
rnacentral:rRNA from 1 species